GGAAGUGAGCUGCCAUGUACUAGGCCACGUGGCAAGGGCCUGGUUGGGGACCUCCAGGGGUUGAGAGCAUCCUCUGGACAACAUGGAAAAAGAAAAUGAAAAUGGUGACCUCAGCCCUAUAGCUAGAAGGAAUUGAAUCCUGUCAACAACGAUACUCAUCACUCACUGCAGAUGUUACUUUAAGACAUUCUGGAGCAGCGUCAUGUGCAGGAGAAAAUAGUAUCAUCUCAGCCUUCUAUGAAAUCAAGGCAAUAUUCAUGUGAAAGUAUAUUCCAAACCCAGAACCUGAGCACAGAUUGGGACUGAGAAACACUUGUCUAGAUUGUCAGGCAAUCUGUAACAUCAGCAGUGGAUGGAAAGAAGGAGAAAGAUGAGUUUUAUGGACGCUAACCCAUCUAUAUGGCUUUGGAAAAUAAAGUACUGCUGUUUUUUUU
rnacentral:lncRNA from 1 species